rnacentral:rRNA from 1 species
AAUAUCAAAGGUGAGCCAGUACAGGAUGGACCCGCGUCUGAUUAGCUAGUUGGUAAGGUAACGGCUUACCAAGGCGACGAUCAGUAGCCGACCUGCGAGGGUGAUCGGCCACAUUGGAACUGAGACACGGUCCAAACUCCUACGGGAGGCAGCAGUGGGGAAUAUUGCACAAUGGGCGAAAGCCUGAUGCAGCAACGCCGCGUGAGUGAUGAAGGCCUUCGGGUC